rnacentral:rRNA from 1 species
UACGAAGGGGGCUAGCGUUGCUCGGAAUUACUGGGCGUAAAGCGCACGUAGGCGGCUUUCUAAGUCGGGGGUGAAAUCCUGGAGCUCAACUCCAGAACUGCCUUCGAUACUGGAGAGCUCGAGUCCGGGAGAGGUGAGUGGAACUGCGAGUGUAGAGGUGAAAUUCGCAGAUAUUCGCAAGAACACCAGUGGCGAAGGCGGCUCACUGGCCCGGUACUGACGCUGAGGUGCGAAAGCGUGGGGAGCGAACAGG